rnacentral:rRNA from 1 species
GAUGAACGCUGGCGGCGUGCCUAAUACAUGCAAGUCGAGCGAACAGACGAGGAGCUUGCUCCUCUGACGUUAGCGGCGGACGGGUGAGUAACACGUGGAUAACCUGCCUAUAAGACUGGGAUAACUUCGGGAAACCGGAGCUAAUACCGGAUAAUAUAUUGAACCGCAUGGUUCAAUAGUGAAAGACGGUUUUGCUGUCACUUAUAGAUGGAUCCGCGCCGCAUUAGCUAGUUGGUAAGGUAACAGCUUACCAAGGCAACGAUGCGUAGCCGACCUGAGAGGGUGAUCGGCCACACUGGAACUGAGACACGGUCCAGACUCCUACGGGAGGCAGCAGUAGGGAAUCUUCCGCAAUGGGCGAAAGCCUGACGGAGCAACGCCGCGUGAGUGAUGAAGGUCUUCGGAUCGUAAAACUCUGUUAUUAGGGAAGAACAAAUGUGUAAGUAACUAUGCACGUCUUGACGGUACCUAAUCAGAAAGCCACGGCUAACUACGUG